CUGAGGUGAGCUGACUGGACGGCACGACAGAAUUAUAUUUGCCAGCGAUCCAGCAUGUCUCAGCAUUCAGAUGACCAGCUGAACCGUGAUGCCUCACAAAGUGGCACAUUUUCUGACUGGAAGGUUUAUGUGAUUGUGAUCAGUGUGGCUGCUGCUCUUCUGGCGGUGGCUCUUCUGUUUUGUUGUAGAAGUAAGUCACGAAUCAUUCUUUAUACCACAUAAAUGAGCGCAAACAUAUUCAAGAUUAACUACCAAUAAUGAUCAAAUAUAUUGAUCUUCAGUUUUAAAUCAUCUUUCAAUCACAGCCCAACAUGUCGUUCACUAUUAAAAAUACUGGUUCUCAAACAGUGCAGUGUCGUAACCUUGUUUAUACUUAAAUAAAUGUACUGAAGAUCUUUAAAUUAUUUUUUUAUAUUUGAUUAAACUAACUCUGAAAUGCCAAUUCCAAAAAUGUUUGAACAUCUGAAAUAUCACUCAGAAAACAGUGAAUAUGACACAAGGAGAAGAUAUUUGAAGUUUAAACUCAUUAAAACAAUUAUUGGAUCAGAAACGUACACACAUUUAGUAUUUGGUACCUCCA